rnacentral:misc_RNA from 1 species
CGCCUAGCUCUCCAGAAGCCUCAAAUCCCAACAAACGUCCAGCCUACUCUUACAAUGCUCUCAUUGCAAUGGCCAUCCAGAAUAGUCCAUUUAAAGCACUCAGAUUGUCUGAAAUUUACGCCUAUAUCUCCAACAAUUUCCCAUAUUAUAAAAUGGAAAAUGGUGGAUGGCAGAACUCUAUUCGUCAUAAUUUGUCGC